rnacentral:lncRNA from 1 species
GUGUUUGUUGUCCUAGCAAGUUUUCCUUGCUCCCCGUGAGAGCUCCAAAGCUUCUAAUGUAACGUCAAGGAUGCUCUCUACUUCAGCAGAGAAUUUGGAAUCAGCAGCCCUGAAAGUAGUUGAUUGAGAAUUGACCUUCUUGGAAGUCAUUUAGUUGUUCCUAAACUUUGAAGUUUGGAAAAGUUGAGAUGAGAGGUAGAGAUUGUCCCACUGGGCGUACCAG